UAACUGAAAAAGAUUUGAACCGGAAGCCCCAAAUCAAAUCCAGCCCUAAUUUUGUAUUUGACUCCGACAUCCUCGCUCUGGAGCCGAGACACCCUUUGUUUGAGAAGGUUUUCUACGCAGAGAGAGCUACGGAGAGAUAGCCAUGGAUGCUUUUAGAAAGCAACUGGACCAGCUAAUGGGGGCGAAUCGAAAUGGCGACGUGCAGGAAGUUAGCCGCAAGUACUACGACCGCGAUGUGUGCCGCAUGUUUUUAGUUGGCCUUUGUCCCCAUGAGCUCUUCCAACUCACGAAAAUGGAUAUGGGUCCAUGUCCGAAAAUCCACUCCUUGCAGCUUAGGAAAGAAUACGAAGAAGCAAAGACUAAAGGAAUUCAUAGCUAUGACCGAGACUUGGAAGAUGUUAUAGAUCGUCUCAUUAUUGAGUGUGAUAGGAAAAUUGCUAGAGCCUUGAAGCGACUUGAGGAAGAAGAUGCAAAGGCUGCUAUUGCGAUUUCUGUCACUGAAGUCACCCAGAUACCUGAGGUACUUGAGUUAUCAAAGCAAAUUAAAGAGAAGUUGAAAGAAGCCGACCAAUAUGAUCUUGAGGGCAAAACAGAUCUUAAAAUUCGUGUUUUGGAGGUUAUAGAUGAAUUGAGGACUAAAAGAGCUGACAAACAGUCCAUGCUUCUUUUAGACGCUUUCAACAAAGAUAGGGCAUCUUUACCUCAACCUCUGCCAAACCCUCCGCCUAUGGCUCCUCUACCUGUUGUAGCUCCUGAUCCUCAUACACAGGAGAUGAUAAAUGAAAAGUUGAAAAAGGCUGAGGAACUCGGUGAGCAAGGAAUGAUUGACGAGGCUCAAAAAGCACUAGAGGAAGCUGAAGCACUUAAGAAGUUGCCUGCUAGGCAGGAGCCAGUAGUGGAUUCAUCCAAAUAUACAGCUGCUGAUGUGCGAAUUACGGAUCAAAAGCUGCGUGUUUGUGACAUCUGCGGGGCUUUUCUAAGUGUUUAUGACAGGCUUUUGGGCCCAGUUUUACGAGGAUAACUUUUCCAGCUAAAGACUUGAUCGUCGUUUGGCAGAUCAUUUUGGAGGAAAACUUCAUCUUGGCUACAUACAAAUACGUGAAAAGUUAGCAGAGCUUCAGGUGCUGCUAUAUGUACAAAUUCUACCAUAGAGAUUCUGAGUUAUACUUUAUCUGUGAGUUUUUCUUUCCUUAAGAGACAAAUGAGUUUUUCUUUUGUGACACGAGGAAAUUAGAUGGCUCUUCAUGUUCUCUGAUUUGAUAAUAUCAUGGUACAACGGAUGUGAGCAAAUAAAUAAUGUGAUGUGGGGCUAAAAUUAGAGAUGACAGGAAAACCAAUCAAUUUAUGUUGGAUCAUAUUUGAUGGUUCACUUGAUAUGAUUAAUUCCCCUGGUGUGGGGUGCCCAAACCACAAGUAAUGAAGUGUCGGUGUCGGACAUGCUUGUUGAAGUGUCCAUUUUUUGGACGCAUGCCGACAUGUUUGAAACCAUGAAAAAAUAUUUAAAAAAAAAAUCUUUGGAACCCACGUCGUCACAUUCUGAGAAGAGAAAAUAAGAAAGAAGGUUAGAAGAAGGGAAAGUACAAACCCACACUGUCUCUUAAAUAAGAAAGAAGAAAGGUAGAAGAAGGUGAAGAAGAAAACCCAUGUUGUGUCUCCUCCUGGGAUGAGAAAUAAGGAAGAAGAAAGGGUAGAAGAAGGGACGGUACUCUUUCCAAUAAAUGAAACAGUUUGUUUUUAUUGUUGGAAAAGUAAGUAUGGCGAAUGACAACCAUGCAACAGCGAAAGGUAUGUGUUUUGUUAAGUAUUAAAUAAUUCUGUUAACAUUUCAAAUUUUAACUGUUUUCAUUCUUGAAAAAAAAUAUUUCACAAUUUAAGAUUUUAGUUCUUU